UAGUGAGUUUGGGCAGGAGUGGAUUGGU
rnacentral:piRNA from 1 species